GUUAGGAGCAGGUUAGGCUAGGGUUAGUAGCAGGUUAGGGCUAGGGUUAGUAGCAGGUUAGGGCUAGGGUUAGUAGCAGGUUAGGUUAGGGUUAGUAGCAGGUUAGGGCUAGGGUUAGUAGCAGGUUAGGGCUAGGGUUAGUAGCAGGUUAGGCUAGGGUUAGGGUUAGCUGCAGGUUAGGGCUAGGGUUAGUAGCAGGUUAGGUUAGGGUUAGGAGCAGGUUAGGCUAGGGUUAGGGUUAGCUGCAGGUUAGGGCUAGGGUUAGUAGCAGGUUAGGUUAGGGUUAGUAGCAGGUUAGGGCUAGGGUUAGUAGCAGGUUAGGGCUAGGGUUAGUAGCAGGUUAGGCUAGGGUUAGGGUUAGGAUGCAGGUUAGGGCUAGGGUUAGUAGCAGGUUAGGCUAGGGUUAGUAGCAGGUUAGGGCUAGGGUUAG
ensembl:lncRNA